ACCCCUCUUACUUGCACUGUUGGUGAUGUUAAAGAUGUAGUGCGAAAAGCCUCAGGGGCUCACAUUGGAGAUAUUCGUAUUAUGAAUGUCAGUGAUUCACAUUCUAUUGCUAUUACCUGCUUUGUUCCCAUGAGUCUGACUGGAUCCUUCAUUGCUACUGUUCUUCAAAAUAUAAAACACCUUCAAUCAAAAGGACUAAGGGAAUUGUUAUUGGAUAAUACAAUUAUUUGGGAACUCAACGAUGACGGACAAAAAUCUAGUACUGAGAAUGAUGUGAAAACUAAAAGCAAAAAAUCAGAGCCGACUUAU